CCUAGGGGUGGCUGCAGUGGGGAAUAUUGGACAAUGGGCGAAAGCCUGAUCCAGCCAUGCCGCGUGUGUGAAGAAGGCCUUCGGGUUGUAAAGCACUUUCAGUGGGGAAGAAAGCCUUGGGGCUAAUACCCUCGAGGAAGGACAUCACCCACAGAAGAAGCACCGGCUAACUCCGUGCCAGCAGCCGCGGUAAUACGGAGGGUGCGAGCGUUAAUCGGAAUUACUGGGCGUAAAGCGCGCGUAGGCGGUCUGAUAAGCCGGUUGUGAAAGCCCCGGGCUCAACCUGGGAACGGCAUCCGGAACUGUCAGGCUAGAGUGCAGGAGAGGAAGGUAGAAUUCCCGGUGUAGCGGUGAAAUGCGUAGAGAUCGGGAGGAAUACCAGUGGCGAAGGCGGCCUUCUGGACUGACACUGACGCUGAGGUGCGAAAGCGUGGGUAGCAAACAGGAUUAGAUACCCCUGUAGUC
rnacentral:rRNA from 1 species